CCUACGGGCGGCAGCAGUGGGGAAUAUUGGACAAUGGGCGAAAGCCUGAUCCAGCCAUGCCGCGUGUGUGAAGAAGGCCUUCGGGUUGUAAAGCACUUUCAGUGGGGAAGAAAGCCUUGGGGCUAAUACCCUCGAGGAAGGACAUCACCCACAGAAGAAGCACCGGCUAACUCCGUGCCAGCAGCCGCGGUAAUACGGAGGGUGCGAGCGUUAAUCGGAAUUACUGGGCGUAAAGCGCGCGUAGGCGGUCUGAUAAGCCGGUUGUGAAAGCCCCGGGCUCAACCUGGGAACGGCAUCCGGAACUGUCAGGCUAGAGUGCAGGAGAGGAAGGUAGAAUUCCCGGUGUAGCGGUGAAAUGCGUAGAGAGCGGGAGGAAUACCAGUGGCGAAGGCGGCCUUCUGGACUGACACUGACGCUGAGGUGCGAAAGCGUGGGUAGCAAACAGGAUUAGAUACCCCUGUAGUC
rnacentral:rRNA from 1 species